GCCGCUGGAGCCGUGAGCCGUACCUUUUGGAGAUGGCAACACAAAUACUGGAAACCCAAGCGGAUGGGAAUUGCCCCGUUCUUCCAGGCCUUUGUCGACGGAAUGGUGUUCUUCUAUGCCAUCAACUGCGGCAAACGGAAGCAUCACAGCAGGAACUACAA
rfam:Aedes aegypti strain Liverpool cont1.8863, whole genome shotgun sequence.